GUUGGAAAUUUCUGCCAAUACCAUAAUGUAAAUCUUGAUUGGGUUGUACAGCUUAAAGGAUUUUUAGGUGUAAUUACAGGCCCUUAGUUAAGGUAUCCACAUUUUGGUUUUACAGUGGGUGAAUUAGAUCCAUAUUCAGCAUCCAUUAAUGGCUCUGCACCUCCCACCUAUCUCCUACCUGUCUCUCAGCACAGUUCUUUCUUUUGUGAAACUCAUAUGCAAGACUUAAUGGUUUUCCCCUUUGGGGGUGGAAACCCACAGAUUUCUCUGAAGUGGCGCUUUUUUUUCUCACUGAAGGUGUUCUUUCCCACCUCUUCCUGUGCAACUCACUUUCAACUUCUUUUGAAUUCACAGAAACAGGACUUGGGAGACUUCCUUUUGCCUGCACUAUUACCUCUGUGGAAACAGCGUGACCACUAUGCUAUCACAUAUCAAACCAACCAACAUUUUCCCGAGGAAGGACUACAAUUUGAAGAGCAAAUGUUGCUCUAACAGCAGACCACUUCCUCUCAGCCCAGCACCCAGACCCUCUUGCUUUAUGCAGGGAUGGAGAGCAGAAAGCCUGAAGCUCUCAAAAGGAAGAGAGCAUCUCAAGGAACUGAAAACUGUCCAGGUGAAAGAGAAAAACUGUAUUCGGAUGGAGGUGGGAGAGGGGAAGCAGAUAAAGGAGAGGACCACAAACAGGCCUUGUGAUAGCAUGUGCUGUAGAAGGAAAGAGUCUGGGAAAACAUAUUUGUCAGAUGUGAAAUAAAAGGCACCAGAAGAAACCUGAUCUGGCAAGGAUUACUUUUUCAUGGCUAGAGACGUUUCUGGAUAAGAGCACGAAAUAUACUAUUUUGCCUUUUCAAUCACAAAGUUGUCUGAACUUAUGCUUCUGUCAGGAAAAAAAAAACCACCACAAAAAGAGCUCAGGUCUACCACAUAUUGUGGGGCUGUUAUAUUUUUUGGUUUAAUGUCAGGAUUUAGUUGCAAGUUUGGAAUUUUAUUACUCUUUUUAUUACUUGAGACAGUAAAAGGGGGCAAGGUAUGUGCACUGAAAACUUCUCAUGUCUGGUUGCUGGGAUUUUUGAAGUCUUUUAUCAAGGCAAAGGGACAAUAAUACAGAUUAUUUUAGAUUAUGUGAUGGAUUUUGCAUGAAAAUGCUUGCAGUCAUGAAAAUUUCAUUGAACUAUAGUGUUUUUUUUACUGGCUGGACAUCUCUGAGCUCCAUACCUGAACAUAAAACAAUGGCUGUUUUAGCCAAAAGUAAAUUUUGUGGUUAAAUUUGGCAAACUGUUUUGAUACAUGAAAAAUCAUUCUGUUUAUACUUUCUAGUAUCUUCUAUAAUUCAAAUUUGCAUUGUGUAAACCCAAGCCAGAAGUUUCAGAUUUUCACACAGUCAUUUUCUCUGUAUCAAAUGAUAUGAUGGAGACAGGAGGAAUGCAUGCUUUGUGCAUAUUCAGCAGAUAUUUAUAACUUUACAAUAAUCAUAUAUAAAAAAAGUUCUGUUUCAUGAACUUAAAUGCUUAAGUUGAGUUGAAAUUAUGAGUUCAAUGUUCUCUAUAAUUGUCAAUGUGUAUGGACAAGCAUGACUCUAAUAUAAAUCCUAUUCUGUUUCAGGAUAAGUCAAGUGAGCACUAAUAAGGAAACUUUUUUUCUGGAAUAAAAUAAAUAAAUACAUAAACAUAUUCUGAACCAU
ensembl:lncRNA